rnacentral:rRNA from 1 species
UCCUGGCUCAGGACGAACGCUGGCGGCGUGCUUAACACAUGCAAGUCGAACGGUGAGGACUGGAGCUUGCUCUGGUUUGAUCAGUGGCGAACGGGUGAGUAACACGUGAGUAACCUGCCCCAGACUCUGGGAUAACUUCGGGAAACCGUGGCUAAUACCGGAUAUGACAUCACCUCGCAUGGGGAUGGUGUGGAAAGUUUUUCGGUCUGGGAUGGACUCGCGGCCUAUCAGCUUGUUGGUGAGGUAGUGGCUUACCAAGGCGACGACGGGUAGCCGGCCUGAGAGGGCGACCGGCCACACUGGGACUGAGACACGGCCCAGACUCCUACGGGAGGCAGCAGUGGGGAAUAUUGCACAAUGGGCGGAAGCCUGAUGCAGCGACGCCGCGUGAGGGAUGAAGGCCUUCGGGUUGUAAACCUCUUUCAGCAGGGAAGAAGCGAAAG